AUGGUGUCCGCCGGUGCGGGGCGUGGCAGCGGAAGGGGGUUCGGCAAUCGUGGUGGCUUAGGGUGCCGUGGUGGAGGCGGCGCGCGCGGCGGCUUCUUCGCCCGCAAGCACCAAAACGAUGACGAGGCCAGUGGCUCUGGCGUCCCCCCUCCGGUGUCAAAGAAGAAACGACAGGCGGCGUGCACUUGCUGCGCCAAGUCCCGCAGCGCCGGAUCGAGGUCGCAUGGGUGGAAGACCUUCCUGCGCUACGGCCGGCUCUUCGACCCGGCACUCCAGCGCCAGCGGGCGGCCGGACGGGCAUGGUUUGAGGCGAGGACUGCCGCCGACGCUGGAGAUACAGCUGCGGCUGCGCGGCUGUCGGCGCUCUGGGAGGAGUACGACCUCCAAACCCGGAUCUACAGUGACCUCAUCACCGACACCCUUUACGGAAAGAAGCCACUGCCCGCCGAGGUCAUCUCCAGCGACGACGACGAUGAGGGCGACGAGGACGAUGAGGACAUCGACUUUGACUCGGAUGACUCUGACUCGGAUGAGUAG
rnacentral:rRNA from 1 species